rnacentral:rRNA from 1 species
CAGUCGCCGCGGUAAUACAAAGGGUGCGAGCGUUAAUCGGAUUUACUGGGCGUAAAGCGUGCGUAGGCGGCUUCUUAAGUCGGAUGUGAAAUCCCUGAGCUUAACUUAGGAAUUGCAUUCGAUACUGGGAAGCUAGAGUAUGGGAGAGGAUGGUAGAAUUCCAGGUGUAGCGGUGAAAUGCGUAGAGAUCUGGAGGAAUACCGAUGGCGAAGGCAGCCAUCUGGCCUAAUACUGACGCUGAGGUACGAAAGCAUGGGGAGCAAACAGGAUUAGAUACCCGUGUAGUCCCUGUCUCUUAUAC